rnacentral:rRNA from 1 species
AACGAACGCUGGCGGCAUGCCUAACACAUGCACGUCGCACGAGACCUUCGGGUCUAGUGGCGCACGGGUGCGUAACGUGUGGGAACCUGCACUUAGGUUCGGAAUAACUCACCGAAAGGGGUGCUAAUACCGGAUAAUGCCUUCGGACCAAAGAUUCAUCGUCUUUGGAUGGGCCCGCGUUGGAUUAGCUAGUUGGUAGGGUAAAAGCCUACCAAGGCGACGACCCAUAGCUGGUCUGAGAGGAUGAUCAGGCACACUGGGACUGAGACACGGCCCAGACGCCUACGGAAGGCAGCGGUGGGUAAUAGUGGGCAAAGAGCGAAAGCCUGAUCCUGCAAUGCCGCGUGAGUGAGGAAGGCCUUAGGGUUGGAAAGCUCGUUUACCCGAGAUGAUAAUGACAGUACCGGGAGAAUAAGCUCCGGCUAACUCCGUG